rnacentral:rRNA from 1 species
UGGGGAAUUUUGGACAAUGGGCGAAAGCCUAAUCCAGCAAUGCCGCGUGUGUGAAGAAGGCCUUCGGGUUGUAAAGCACUUUUGUCCGGAAAGAAAUGGCUCUGGUUAAUACCUGGGGUCGAUGACGGUACCGGAAGAAUAAGGACCGGCUAACUACGUGCCAGCAGCCGCGGUAAUACGUAGGGUCCAAGCGUUAAUCGGAAUUACUGGGCGUAAAGCGUGCGCAGGCGGUUGUGCAAGACCGAUGUGAAAUCCCCGAGCUUAACUUGGGAAUUGCAUUGGUGACUGCACGGCUAGAGUGUGUCAGAGGGGGUAGAAUUCCACGUGUAGCAGUGAAAUGCGUAGAGAUGUGGAGGGAAUACCGAUGGGCGAAGGCAGCCCCCUGGGAUAACACUGACGCUCAUGCACG